GGCACUGUACACAGUGCUCAAAACAAUCAUGCGUAUGUGUUAACCACAAUGUGCGCUUAAAACUUAACUAUUGACCUCGUAUAAGGUAAGAGUACCCACUGAACUUAAGCAUAUCAAUAAGUGGAGGAAAAGAAACCAACAGGGAUUGCCUUAGUAGCGGCGAGUGAAGCGGCAAAAGCUCAAAUUUGAAAUCUGCCUUACGGCCGAGUUGUAAUUUGUAGAUGGUAACUCUGCGACAAGUCUUUGCUCAAGUGUUCUGGAAAGGACCAUCAUGGAGGGUGAUAAUCCCGUGAGGCAUUGAUGCAGUUGCGUGUAGAGUGCUAUCGAAGAGUCGAGUUGUUUGGGAAUGCAGCUCAAAGUGGGUGGUAGACACCAUCUAAAGCUAAAUAUUGGCGAGAGACCGAUAGCGAACAAGUACUGUGAAGGAAAGAUGAAAAGCACUUUGAAAAGAGAGUGAAAAAGUACGUGAAAUUAUUGAUACAGAAGGAUAUACAAUUGGACACGGAGUCUUGGGUUCGCUGCUUCUUCGGGAGUAGUUUGUCCCUUGAUUCUUCACCAGCAUCAGUUUUGGCAGGAGGAUAAACAACAUGGAAUGUAGCUGCUUGCAGUGUUAUAGACUUGUUGCAUACUCUUUGCCGGGACUGAGGUCAGCCUUUGUAGGAUGCUGGGGUAACGAUUGUAUAUCACCCGUCUUGAAACA
rnacentral:rRNA from 1 species